AUUGAACGCUGGCGGCAGGCCUAACACAUGCAAGUCGAGCGGAGCGGCGGACGGGUGAGUAAUGCCUAGGAAUCUGCCUGGUAGUGGGGGAUAACGUCCGGAAACGGGCGCUAAUACCGCAUACUAUCAGAUGAGCCUAGGUCGGAUUAGCUAGUUGGUGGGGUAAAGGCCUACCAAGGCGAAGAUCCCUAACUGGUCUGAGAGGAUUAUCAGUCACACUGGAACUGGAGCACGGGCCCAAAUCCUACGGGAGGCAGCCGGGGGGAAUAUUUGACAAAUGGGGAAAGCCUUAACCAGCCAUGCCGGGUGGGUGAAGAAGGUCUUUGGAUUGUUAAGCACCUUAAGUUGGGAGGCGGUACCAACAGAAUAAGCACCGGCUAACUUCGUGCCAACAGCCGCGGUAAUUC
rnacentral:rRNA from 1 species